rnacentral:rRNA from 1 species
GACGAACGCUGGCGGCGUGCCUAAUACAUGCAAGUAGAACGCACAGUUUAUACCGUAGCUUGCUACACCAUAGACUGUGAGUUGCGAACGGGUGAGUAACGCGUAGGUAACCUGCCUGGUAGCGGGGGAUAACUAUUGGAAACGAUAGCUAAUACCGCAUAAUAUUAAUUAUUGCAUGAUAAUUAAUUGAAAGGUGCAAUUGCACCACUACCAGAUGGACCUGCGUUGUAUUAGCUAGUAGGUGAGGUAACGGCUCACCUAGGCGACGAUACAUAGCCGACCUGAGAGGGUGAUCGGCCAAACUGGGACUGAGACACGGCCCAGACUCCUACGGGAGGCAGCAGUAGGGAAUCUUCGGCAAUGGGCGAAAGUCUGACCGAGCAACGCCGCGUGAGUGAAGAAGGUUUUCGGAUCGUAAAGCUCUGUUGUAAGAGAAGAACGGGUGUGAGGGUGGAAAGUUCACACUGUGACGGUAUCUUACCAGAAAGGGACGGCUAACUACGUG